ensembl:lncRNA
AUGGUCACCGCCGGAGUCCCCCAGAGCGGAGCGGACGACCACCACGUCCUCGUGGUCACCGCCCGAGUCCCCCAGGGUGGAGCGGACGACCACCACGUCCUCGUGGUCACCGCCAGAGUCCCCCAGGGCGGAGUAGAAGACCACCACGGCCUUGUGGUCACCGCCUCGGGAACUGUAUCGGGCACCGCCUCUGGAACAGCCUCGGGCACCGCCUCGGGAACUGUAUCGGGCACCGCCUCGGGAACAGCAUCGGGCACCGCCUCGGGAACUGCAUCGGGCACCGCAUCGGGCACCGCCUCGGGAACAGCCUCGGGCACCGCCUCGGGAACAGCCUCGAGCACCGCCUCGGGAACUGCAUCGGGCACCGCCUCGGGAACUGCAUCGGGCACCGCCUCGGGAACUGCAUCGGGCACCGCCUCGGGAACUGCAUCGGGCACCGCCUCGGGAACAACAUCGAGCACCGCCUCGGGAACUGCAUCGGGCACCGCCUCGGGAACUGCAUCGGGCACCGCCUCGGGAACUGCAUCGGGAACCGCAUCGGGAACUGCAUCGGGCACCGCCUCGGGAACAACAUCGAGCACCGCCUCGGGAACAGCAUCGAGCACCGCCUCGGGAACAGCAUCGAGCACCGCCUCGGGAACAGCAUCGGGCACCGCCUCGGGAACAGCAUCGGGCACCGCCUCGGGAACUGUAUCGGGCACCGCCUCGGGAACUGCAUCGGGCACCGCCUCGGGAACUGCAUCGGGCACCGCCUCGGGAACAGCAUCGGGCACCGCCUCGGGAACUGCAUCGAGCACCGCCUCGGGAACAGCAUCGGGCACCGCCUCGGGAACUGCAUCGGGCACCGCCUCGGGAACUGCCUCGGGCACCGCCUCGGGAACUGCAUCGGGCACCGCCUCGGGAACUGCCUCGGGCACCGCCUCGGGAACUGCCUCGGGCACCGCCUCGGAAACUGCAUCGGGCACCGCCUCGGGAACAGCAUCGGGCACCGCCUCGGGAACUGCAUCGGGCACCGCCUCGGGAACUGCAUCAGGCACCGCCUCGGGAACAGCCUCGGCCUCCGGAGCAGCAGCGGGCACCGCAUCGGGAACGACCUCGGCCACCGCCCCGGCCUCCGGAACAGCAACGGGGACCGCAUCGGGAACGGCUUCGACCACCGCCUCGGCCUCCGGAACAGCAGCGGGCACCGCCUCGGCCUCCAGAACAGCAACGGGAACCGCAUCGGAAACGGCCUCGGCCACCGCCUCGGCCUCCGGAACAGCAGCGGGUACCGCCUCGGCCUCCAGAACCGCAGCGGGCACCACAUCGGGAACAGCAUCGGGCAUUGCCUCGGCCUCUCGAACAGCAUCGAGCACCUUCUCGGGAACAGCCUCGGCCUCGGAAACAGCAUCGGGCACCGCCUCGGGAACUGCAUCGGGCACCGCCUCGGCCUCCGGAACAUUAGCGGGCACCGCAUCGGGAAUGGCCUCAUGGACGGCAGCCGCCCGCUCGGGAACGUUCUCCGGGUCCUGAGGAACAGUAGCUGCCUGUCUCCUCCUCCGCCCUCUACGAUGGAGAGUCGGUGGCGUUGAGUCGGCCAUCUUGUGCUGUGGUGCUGGGCUGGCGGCCAUCUUGCGCUGUGGCGCUAGGCUGGCGGCCAUCUUGGGCUGUGGGGCUGGGCUGGUGGCCAUCUUGGGUUGUGGAGCUGAGCUGGCAGCCUUGUCUGGAAACUCUGGUGUGGUUGUUGCAUCCCACUGAGCACGAUGGUGCAGGUAAUUGGUAAACCCCCAAAAGUCCAGGAUCUCUAACCCCUUCAUCUCCCAUUGAGGUAAAGGAUCAUCCAGGCAAUUAUUAAACCAAUCCUUUAGUGCUGCAUCAUUGUAACCUAACCCGACUGCCAAAGUCCAAAACAAUUGCGCCAGGCCACCCACCUCCCUUCCCUCUUGAUGAAGGGUGGUUAAGUUCCGGAAUCUCCCCCUCCGUUCCUCCAUGGUGGCUGGGGAACCGAUUCGAAAUCUCACACCGCUGGAUCUAGGCAUGAUGGAGUCCUUCUGUCACGGUUGGGUUUGGGAAAACACAAAGAGAGGGUAGAUCCAAAUGCAGGUAAGGGUUUUUAUUUAAACAGAGGGGUAACUACAAAAAUAAACAGUCAUGAGAGACAAACGUAACCAAAAGAGGGAACCGGAUGAAACGGGGAACUCGGAAGAAUGAGAACGUAGAGGAAGUCUCGGGGGAACGAGAGCAUGAGACACAUAGGGUAAGGACUCCAUGAUGACAACAGAGAAAGACAGCUCUAUAUAGGGAAACUAAUUACAGAGUAUUGUCAACACCUGUGCGAUUCUAAUUGGAGUGCAAUUACUGUGAAGACACAACCAGACUAGCGGAAUUAAAGUGCCUAUGGUGAAGUGCCUAAGGGGAAGUGAGCUCACUAGGGAACACCCAGGAAAACAAAGACUGGCAGCGUGACACUCUGGCUUUAUAGGCCACGUCACUGAACAGCUAAAUAUGGUGACAGAUACAGAGAGAUUUGCAAAAUCUGUGAUGAUACUUAAUUUCAAGAUUCAGAACUGCUGAGAUUUUCUCUGACAUCGUCAACCAUGAGUGUAGCCAUGGCGCGACCGAUCUCAUUGUAGGAUUUGGUUUUGCCAUCAGGACUGAGCAG